GUAUGAAUGGCAUAACGAGGGUUUAACUGUCUCCUUCUCUCAGUCAAUGAAAUUGAUCUAUCCGUGAAGAAGCGGAUAUAAAAACAUAAGACGAGAAGACCCUAUGGAGCUUUAGACUAAAGACAAAACAUGUAAAAAUACUCAAAAGCUCAAAAGAAUAACAAAAGCAAAAUAAACCUAUGAUAAAUGACCUAGAAUCUUCGAUUGGGGCGAUCAUGGGGGAGAAAAAAGCCCCCACGUGGAAUGGGAAAAGACCCUUAACUUAAGAGGGACACCUCAAAACCUCAGAAAAUCUGACCAAAAAUGACCCAGAACAUUAUCUGAUCAACGAACCAAGUUACCCUAGGGAUAACAGCGCAAUCCUUUUCCAGAGCCCAUAUCGACGAAAGGGUUUACGACCUCGAUGUUGGAUCAGGACAUCCUAAUGGUGCAGCCGCUAUUAAAGGUUCGUUUGUUCAACGAUUAACAGUCCUACGUGAUCUA
rnacentral:rRNA from 1 species